rnacentral:rRNA from 1 species
UACGGAGGGUGCAAGCGUUAUCCGGAUUUACUGGGUUUAAAGGGUGCGUAGGUGGGUCUGUAAGUCAGUGGUGAAAUCUCCGAGCUUAACUUGGAAACUGCCAUUGAUACUAUAGGUCUUGAAUUAUCUGGAGGUGAGCGGAAUAUGUCAUGUAGCGGUGAAAUGCUUAGAUAUGACAUAGAACACCAAUUGCGAAGGCAGCUCACUACGGAUAUAUUGACACUGAGGCACGAAAGCGUGGGGAUCAAACAGG